rnacentral:lncRNA from 1 species
CGCCGCUCGGCCCGCGUUUCCCUCGGCUCUUGGUUCCGAAGUGGGGAUGGUGGCCGGGGCUGACCUACGUGGUAAAUGUGUCUUCCUGAGUUGAACUGGAAGCUUUGGAUGUCUGCAGCCUACAGAAACGAGCUCUGAAGGAUUUUGUAUGUGGAGUACAAGAAAGAAAACGUCCCAGAACACAUUGGUAGAAAGCUGAGUAUUCCGGAAGAGGUUUACAGUACAGUUCAGCUUUUACACACACAUGUAGCCAGCAGUAUGAGAAGUUUGGCCAUUCUUCAGCAUCGGUGUUGUCCUUAGCCACUAAACACAGAUGAAGCUCUGCAGUAGGCCGUUCUGUUCCUGCCAGGCUAUAAGGAAAUCUGCAGUUAUCACCUCUGUAAACUGGAAAGUUUAGCCCACGGCAGCUACCUACGAGGGAGAAGAUUAUACGAGCAGUCUCCCUCUUCCCCCAAUUAGAUGAGAACUGUUGUACGGUCUGUUUAAAAAUCAGAAUGUGUGGUACUGAGGUUCUGAUUAAAAGGCUUCUACACGAGAAGUAUUGAUUAUAUUUGUGUUGUUGCUG